AGGGGCGAAGCCACGUUUAGAGGUGUGGUGGCACGUGCACCCCCUUAUUUAUUGAUAUUUGAAAUGUUACACCUAAAGUUAUUAUAGUUUCAGUGGAUCAAUUGGUAAAAAACGGGGUUUGCACCCAUAGUGUCCUGAGUUCAAAACCCAUUGCAUGUAGAUUUAUUUUUUAUCACUAAUAAUGCACCCAUUAAAUAAUUCUUCUGGCUUCGCCCCUGC
rnacentral:lncRNA from 1 species